AUGAACGCUAGCUACAGGCUUAACACAUGCAAGUCGAGGGGCAGCAUGGUCUUAGCUUGCUAAGGCCGAUGGCGACCGGCGCACGGGUGAGUAACACGUAUCCAACCUGCCGUCUACUCUUGGACAGCCUUCUGAAAGGAAGAUUAAUACAAGAUGGCAUCAUGAGUCCGCAUGUUCACAUGAUUAAAGGUAUUCCGGUAGACGAUGGGGAUGCGUUCCAUUAGAUAGUAGGCGGGGUAACGGCCCACCUAGUCUUCGAUGGAUAGGGGUUCUGAGAGGAAGGUCCCCCACAUUGGAACUGAGACACGGUCCAAACUCCUACGGGAGGCAGCAGUGAGGAAUAUUGGUCAAUGGGCGAGAGCCUGAACCAGCCAAGUAGCGUGAAGGAUGACUGCCCUAUGGGUUGUAAACUUCUUUUAUAAAGGAAUAAAGUCGGGUAUGGAUACCCGUUUGCAUGUACUUUAUGAAUAAGGAUCGGCUAACUCCGUGCCAGCAGCCGCGGUAAUACGGAGGAUUCGAGCGUUAUCCGGAUUUAUUGGGUUUAAAGGGAGCGUAGAUGGAUGUUUAAGUCAGUUGUGAAAGUUUGCGGCUCAACCGUAAAAUUGCAGUUGAUACUGGAUAUCUUGAGUGCAGUUGAGGCAGGCGGAAUUCGUGGUGUAGCGGUGAAAUGCUUAGAUAUCACGAAGAACUCCGAUUGCGAAGGCAGCCUGCUAAGCUGCAACUGACAUUGAGGCUCGAAAGUGUGGGUAUCAAGCAGGAUUAGAUGCCCUGGUAGUCCACACGGUAAACGAUGAAUACUCGCUGUUUGCGAUAUACGGCAAGCGGCCAAGCGAAAGCGUUAAGUAUUCCACCUGGGGAGUACGCCGGCAACGGUGAAACUCAAAGGAAUUGACGGGGGCCCGCACAAGCGGAGGAACAUGUGGUUUAAUUCGAUGAUACGCGAGGAACCUUACCCGGGCUUAAAUUGCAGAUGAAUUACGGUGAAAGCCGUAAGCCGCAAGGCAUCUGUGAAGGUGCUGCAUGGUUGUCGUCAGCUCGUGCCGUGAGGUGUCGGCUUAAGUGCCAUAACGAGCGCAACCCUUGUUGUCAGUUACUAACAGGUUCCGCUGAGGACUCUGACAAGACUGCCAUCGUAAGAUGUGAGGAAGGUGGGGAUGACGUCAAAUCAGCACGGCCCUUACGUCCGGGGCUACACACGUGUUACAAUGGGGGGUACAGAGGGCCGCUACCACGCGAGUGGAUGCCAAUCCCCAAAACCUCUCUCAGUUCGGACUGGAGUCUGCAACCCGACUCCACGAAGCUGGAUUCGCUAGUAAUCGCGCAUCAGCCACGGCGCGGUGAAUACGUUCCCGGGCCUUGUACACACCGCCCGUCAAGCCAUGGGAGCCGGGGGUACCUGAAGUGCGUAACCGCGAGGAGCGCCCUAGGGUAAAACUGGUGACUGGGGCU
rnacentral:rRNA from 1 species